rnacentral:misc_RNA from 1 species
UGGGAAUAUUUUAUGCAUGUACUGGUAAGCUAUCUUUCAUGUGCAGUUGUCAUUGUUUAAUGUUUAUUAUUCUUAGGGCAAGAUUUCAAUGUCGACACUUUACCGUAAUUUCAGUUUCAACAGUAUCAGCAGGGAAUUCUUUCUUGCAGCAACAGCUCUUUUGGUUUCAUGGAUAGGUUGCACCUCUAUCUCUCUGUGUCUCUGGUUUGUUUUUGGAUAUAUGCGUGUAUUGUUCCUCCUUACCCCACCCUUUCCUUUCCAACUUCCCCAUUUUUCUUCGAAAGAAAAAAAUUGCAUUACCAGUGACUCAUGGUAAUAGUGUUGAUUGUUGAACUAAGAAGGGUCAUCUAUGAUACGUUUCCUCAUUUUAAUAGGAAUGGCUCUGUGGAGAGACGCUGUAGUAUAUGGAUACAACUCACCUCUGACAUCCUUGAAAGAGUUGGCCUUUGGCUCAACUUGAAGUUCCAUGCAAUGCUGCCAUGAAGCUUAAAUGACAUGAAAGCAACCAGAUCCCAAGAUCUUAUAUCUGAAGCAUGAAAUAUGAAAAUUCAUCUUCAUUACUAAGGUGCCAUUGCUUGGUCAGGAUUGCUGCCACAGUUUUCCAACCAUUAACUUUUAAUCAAAGAGCUUGCCGUAUGGAGAUCAAUUGAUGCCCUUCCACUGAACAUUG